GGGUGUCAGCUUGGUUAAUGCAUCAUUUCUUAUUUAAGUUCUAAUCAGCGGUUGUAGGCGUUUAUAAUAACAAACAUUUCGUAAGCUUUAUACAAAUGUUAAAAAGUUUUAUUAAUCCAUUCAUUUUAAUAGUCGGUAGAUACUACAAUAUUUAAGAAUGUAGCGACUGAUCACCCGCCACCCCGUGUACAAAUAAUGAAAGCAUCCAAUUCAAAACGCGAGGUUUUUGUGUAGUGUGUAUAACCAACUACGGCUGCAGAAUAUACAGUCUCUGGUGUUUAUGGAAAGGAUUGUUUACCUAGAGGCAGCUUGGUAUGACAUGUUGCAAAGCAUUCUGUUUGAUUAACAGAUAAUAGAUACUGCAGACACUAAGCAAAUUAUACUUACCUAGCAGUUGCAGUAUUCCAGCCAUGGAGUCAUAAUCUUAGAAUAAAGGUCUCGGUGUUUAGGUGAAUCUGAGGAAAGUCCAAAAUAUUGCAACUGUUCCAGUUGUUAAAAUUGUAAGCAAAGACGUAUGCUGGCUUUAACACAUCAACAAGACAACAAAACACUCAUUUCAUAUGCUGGCUCCAGUGAUGUUAAUUCAGCUGCAGAUACUUCUGUUCUCAAAUAUGUAUCGACAGUACCUGUGUCAGAUGUACUGGCAAACAUGUUAUAUCUUCAUUUUUGUCGAGCCCGCUUGCGGAAGCAAAGAUAGAUGUCCAAAUGGCUGUUCUGUGUAUGUGCGUGUGUGCGUCCGUCCGUCCGUCAGGAUUUGUUUGUCCGGACCAUAACUUUGAUAUGCGUGGAGCAAUCUCGUUUAUAUUUGGCAUGAAUGUUAACCUCAGUGAGACGGAGUGUCAUGCGCAAACUGCAGGUUCCUAUCUCAAAGGUCAAGGUCACACUUGGAGGUCAAAGGUUAAAUUCAAUAAUGACUGUCCGGAGCAUUAAUUUUCUUCUUCAUGCAUGGAGGGAUUUUGAUGUAACUUGGCACAAAUGUUCACAACCAUGUGACAGAGUGUCAUGCACAAGAACCAGGACCCUAGGUCUAACUAUAAGGUCAAGGUCAAACUUAGAGAUCAAAGUUCCUGAGCAUUUCUUUUUCAUGCAUAGAGGAAUUUUGAUGUAACUUGGCACAAUUGUUCACCAUCAUGAGAUGGAGUGUCAUGUGCAAGAACCUAGAAUUACUUCCCUUUGUUGUUACUAUAAAUAGCUUAUAUUGAACUUUUUUAUUACUGGUCGUAGGGAAAAAUCAAGACCACUUUUCUGUAGUACAAUAUGCAUGUUACAUCCAAUUUUGAGGUGUAUUUAGACCUAUCUCUACUGGUAUGGAUUUUUGUGUGGACUUAGAUUUUUUUAAAGAUUUACUUCCCUUUGUUGUUACUAUGAAUACAGGUAACGUAUUUUGUAACUUUUUGCAAUCAUUUUUUAUUUGGCAUAAAUGUUUGCCUUAAUGAGACAGGGUGUCAUGUGCAACUCCUAGUCCUUUUGACAGCUGGCGGGCUUGACAUGUUGACCGUGGGCAUCUAGUGUUAAAACUUUCCUAUAAACUGACUCUAGUACAACCAAGUACUGUAUGAUAAGAAUGUGUUAUGGCAGAUCUCGCCUCAUAAACAUUCAUAUUCAUAUAGACAAACACACCAAGAACAGGAGUCUGCAGCAAACCUGCUUUAUAAAUGAAGGGACAUUAGUGACUGGAUUCCUUUCCCUUAUUCAGACUGUCCUUUGAUCUUUAUAGAUAAAUCUGUUUUAGUUGGACAUUCAUUUCUUUUGUGGUUUUGCAACUUGACAUUUUAGUUCUUUCUUAGAGUUAAUGCUUUUACUUUUGAAAAUAUGAAAACAAUAUUAUUUUAAUGUGAUUUUUGCAUAUAAUGUAUGUUUGUUUGAUGAAAUGUUUAUCUUUGAAAUUUAUUUGUAAGUUAAAGAAUAUAUAUGUUGAUUUUU